CCACCUGUUCAUGGGCAGUUGGUGAAUGCUACCAAGUUUUUUUUGUGCCAUAAAAAUUCUUUUGGAAAAGGAUUGGUCUGUCAUAGUGCAACAUUUGUAUCUUGAGGGUGCAGCUCUAGCUGACUGGCAUACAAACUUUGAUUCUUCUUCACUGCUGGAGAUGCAUGUUGUCAAUGCUCUGGCUUCUAGGGCUGCACAGGUGUUGGUCUGUGAUUUAGUAGGUGUUGCUUUUCCUUGCAUGUGUAUGAUUUAGCUUUUGGGGCUUUUGCCCUGUUAGUAAAAAUAAAAAGGAUACGGGCGGAACUUUCUUUUGUAAGGAAGUUUAGAAAAUGGAAGACAAGGGAGCCUAUUGAUAGGUGGUUUUCUUUUCUCGGAGUAUUUGAUUCCAUUUUUACUAUGGAUAAUAUGGAAGAGAGGUUUCUCCUUGGACAGUGUGUUAAUUUGUAAAAAGGAGUAGCAAAUGGCAGCCUUUUGCUUGUUCUCUGUGAAGUUGCUGUGGAUCUGUGGGCAUUGAUUUAAGCUUCCAUUGGUUUAUAGUGGUUGCUUUUGAGGAUAAUGAAAGAAUUCUGGAUGGGUGGUACUGCUGAGUUAUUCCUAAAGAGGGGAAGAAAAUGUAAAAAUUUAGCCUAUGCUCUUCCAAACUUGGCUACAAUUAACACCAAAGUAAAAGGAAUGGAAGAAAUUAAAAGGAGUGGCCAUAAUUACAAAUUUCACCAAAGG
rnacentral:misc_RNA from 1 species